rnacentral:rRNA from 1 species
GGCUUAGGAUGAACGCUAGCGACAGGCCUAACACAUGCAAGUCGAGGGGCAGCACAAGGAGCAAUCUGAGGUGGCGACCGGCGCACGGGUGAGUAACACGUAUGCAACCUGCCUGUAAGCGGGGAAUAACCCGUUGAAAGACGGACUAAUACCGCAUAAUACUAAAUUACUGCAUGGUAAUUUAUUUAAACAUUUAUGGCUUACAGAUGGGCAUGCGCAUGAUUAGCUAGUUGGAGAGGUAACGGCUCCCCAAGGCAACGAUCAUUAGGGGUUCUGAGAGGAAGGUCCCCCACACUGGUACUGAGACACGGACCAGACUCCUACGGGAGGCAGCAGUGAGGAAUAUUGGUCAAUGGACGAGAGUCUGAACCAGCCAAGUCGCGUGCAGGAAGAAUGUCCCUAUGGAUUGUAAACUGCUUUUGCAGGGGAAUAAAGUGCAUCACGUGUGAUGUUUUGUAUGUACUCUGCGAAUAAGGAUCGGCUAACUCCGUGCCAGCCGCUGC